UGCACACAUCAUGGGAAAUUCCCUGACUUAGGACAAGAUGGCAUCUUAAAGUCUGAACAUCUUUAUCUAUUUAGGGUUACCACAGUAUAUUAUGUACUGAAAGAGUCGUAGCAUAGCCUUGAAGCUUGUUUAUGCAUUAUUGUUAUUGUUUUUCGUCUGGGACAAAAUGACGCAAACAUAAUAUGCACUGAAGGUAAGUAAGAAGUUAUUGCUUAAAGAAACAGUUAUGAAAAAC
rnacentral:lncRNA from 1 species